rnacentral:ncRNA from 1 species
GUAGAUGAUCCUCCUGGUUGUCAUAUGUUAAUCUCAAAGAUUAAGUAUUGCACGUCUAAGUAAAUGCCCGAUUAAAGCGAAACCGAGGAUGGGUCAUUAAAUUGUUUAUGGUUCGUUGAAUCGUGGCUUACUAGUUGAAUAACUGUGGCAAUUCUCGAGCUGAUACAUACAAUAGAGCUCCGAUCCUUCAGGGACGAGUGCUUUUAUUUCACCAAAACCGAUCGUCCCUCGUGUCCGUAUUGUGUGGUGACUCUGUUAACCUUUAAGCUGUUCUCAUGGACUCAUCCUGUCGAUGUGUCUUUCAAAUGUGUGUUUUAUCGGCUGUCGGUGGUAGGUUACACACAUAUCGUGGUCUUAACGGAUGACGGGGAAUCAAGGUUUGAUUCCAGAGACGGAGUCUAAGUAACAGCUAACACAUCCAAGGAAGACAACAAGUGCGCAAAUCACCCACUCCCAAAACGGAAAAAUAGUAACAAAAAAUAACAAUACGGGAGUCUUUUGAGAACCCGUAACUGCAAUGAGUACACUCUAAAUCAUUUAACGAGGAUCAGUUGCAUGGCUAAUCUGUUUCCAAAAGCGGCGGUAAUUUCAGUAGCUUAUAUUAAAGUUGUUGCUGUUAGAAAACACGCAGUUGGAGAUCAGCUCCAGACUGCUGGUCUGCUUAACGGUAAUUACUGCCUAUUCGGAACAGCGAUCUGUUUUCCUUUGAUGAUCUUAGCGGCUGUCUUGGUGAGCGGCAAGUUUACUUUAAAAAGAUUAGAGUGCGUUUUUGGAAUACGUGGUAAUGAUUAAGAGGGACGGACGUUAA